GACAGAGGGGGCAAGCGUUGCUCGGAAUCACUGGGCGUAAAGGGCGCGUAGGCGGGAUGGCAAGUCGGUCGUGAAAUCUCUCGGCUCAACCGAGAAACGUCGGCCGAUACUGCCGUUCUUGAGGGAUGCAGAGGAGACUGGAAUUCCCGGUGUAGCGGUGAAAUGUGUAGAGAUCAUGAGGAAGACCAGUGGCGAAGGCGGGUCUCUGGACAGUUCCUGACACUGAGGCACGAAGGCCAGGGGAGCAAACGGG
rnacentral:rRNA from 1 species